GGCGAGGGGAGUGAAAAAGAACCUGAAACCGUGUACGUACAAGCAGUGGGAGCACAGAGCAAUCUGUGUGACUGCGUACCUUUUGUAUAAUGGGUCAGCGACUUAUAUUCUGUAGCAAGGUUAACCGAAUAGGGGAGCCGAAGGGAAACCGAGUCUUAACUGGGCGUUAAGUUGCAGGGUAUAGACCCGAAACCCGGUGAUCUAGCCAUGGGCAGGUUGAAGGUUGGGUAACACUAACUGGAGGACCGAACCGACUAAUGUUGAAAAAUUAGCGGAUGACUUGUGGCUGGGGGUGAAAGGCCAAUCAAACCGGGAGAUAGCUGGUUCUCCCCGAAAGCUAUUUAGGUAGCGCCUCGUGAAUUCAUCUCCGGGGGUAGAGCACUGUUUCGGCAAGGGGGUCAUCCCGACUUACCAACCCGAUGCAAACUGCGAAUACCGGAGAAUGUUAUCACGGGAGACACACGGCGGGUGCUAACGUCCGUCGUGAAGAGGGAAACAACCCAGACCGCCAGCUAAGGUCCCAAAGUCAUGGUUAAGUGGGAAACGAUGUGGGAAGGCCCAGACAGCCAGGAUGUUGGCUUAGAAGCAGCCAUCAUUUAAAGAAAGCGUAAUAGCUCACUGGUCGAGUCGGCCUGCGCGGAAGAUGUAACGGGGCUAAACCAUGCACCGAAGCUGCGGCAGCGACGCUUAUGCGUUGUUGGGUAGGGGAGCGUUCUGUAAGCCUGUGAAGGUGUACUGUGAGGUAUGCUGGAGGUAUCAGAAGUGCGAAUGCUGACAUAAGUAACGAUAAAGCGGGUGAAAAGCCCGCUCGCCGGAAGACCAAGGGUUCCUGUCCAACGUUAAUCGGGGCAGGGUGAGUCGACCCCUAAGGCGAGGCCGAAAGGCGUAGUCGAUGGGAAACAGGUUAAUAUUCCUGUACUUGGUGUUACUGCGAAGGGGGGACGGAGAAGGCUAUGUUGGCCGGGCGACGGUUGUCCCGGUUUAAGCGUGUAGGCUGGUUUUCCAGGCAAAUCCGGAAAAUCAAGGCUGAGGCGUGAUGACGAGGCACUACGGUGCUGAAGCAACAAAUGCCCUGCUUCCAGGAAAAGCCUCUAAGCAUCAGGUAACAUCAAAUCGUACCCCAAACCGACACAGGUGGUCAGGUAGAGAAUACCAAGGCGCUUGAGAGAACUCGGGUGAAGGAACUAGGCAAAAUGGUGCCGUAACUUCGGGAGAAGGCACGCUGAUAUGUAGGUGAAGUCCCUCGCGGAUGGAGCUGAAAUCAGUCGAAGAUACCAGCUGGCUGCAACUGUUUAUUAAAAACACAGCACUGUGCAAACA
rnacentral:rRNA from 1 species